CAAUAAACAUUUAUUAAGCUGUAAUUUUCACAAUAUUUUAAUUCUGCUCUGAGAUCUACAAAUAUCUCUACAUAACACCAAAGCCAGUGAUUUAAUAAAUAGGAGGAAUGUAUAUAUCGCUUUGCAAAAAAAUAUGCCUGAUACAUUUAUCUCUAUAUAUUUGUAGAAUCAAUUUCCCAAGGCUCAUGAAACUAAAGUGCACACACACACACACACCAUGUACACACACACACUAUUUAAAUCAAAUUGAUUUAUAUUAAGUGCCAAAUUAAAUGCUAUACAAAAUUUAUAACAAGAUACACGAAAUAUGAAGUCAAUCAUGACUCCACUGUUGAUAAUGGAUACUAUACCUCACAAGUGUGAUUUCCAGUUAAGAAGAGGGAAACAAUUGCUUCAUUGGAUUUUUAGUGUGUGCUAAUUACCAUCACCAUCACAAGUUAAUCAGUGUAAUUACACGGUAUUCAGAGAUUAAACACAUGCAGAUAUUAAAUGGACACUACAAUAAAACCUUUAAAUCUGCAAAAAGACAUUAGAACACAUGGUCAAUAACACCACUCGCUGCCACAGCUUUUCAGUAGACAAGGCAAAUGGCAAUCAGCGUUUUAAGCCACAAGAGAAAAACUGGUACUGGUGCACCUCCUACAUAUCAAGGAAAAGCAAAACACAGAAUAAUUUAAUAUGCUGAAUAAAAUUUGUUUACACCAGAUAUUAUACAUCAUACUGAUGGUUGUCCAGUAUGAAUUUUAAGGGUAUUGUUAGAUUCUGCAAAAUGCAUUCCUAUUAUUCACAAGUGAGGAGUCAAAGUCCAACUAUUCAAAUGGCCAUAAACAAAAAUGUUGCAGAAGGUAUAGAUCAUUAAAACUAAAAAGUCGGGAGUGGGUCAGCUGACCCCUUAGGAGCCUCAGGAAUUCCUUUAACACUAGAUAGAUGGCAAGAGCCGGCUUUUUGGUUAAGUCGGCCAGUUCGAAACCUGCUGGGGAGAGGUUAACAGGUGUCAGCUUGUAAGGCAGAUGUCAUUCAUCAAAAGCAUCUUAAGAAGUAGCGGCGCUCGCAAAAAUGAAGCAAUUCAGGAUUUCCACUAGCGACAAAUUGCAUUAACCAUGUCUAGGCCAUUUGACAGCUGUUAUUCUUAACUGCUCCAUAAGCCCGCGGAAUCACAGGGCCAGAUGAGUGAGUAAGCUGCUCACAUCCUCUCUGCAAGGCAGCCCUCCCGGGCGUGUAAAAAGUCAUAUUACAGUCUUCCUAAUCACUGACCCGAACCUUUGUGUUCUUACUCAGUUCCCCAGAGGGGACUACACCACUUGGUUACCACCAUCACAGUCAUAAAGAUACAGUCCCAGUUCCCUGACAUCGCUGCCUCCCGACUCCUGCAUGAGACAGGCUCUCAUUUCUGGGGAAAGUGUAUUAAACACCUUUCAAAGGCAUUCAUCUCCCCUUUGUGAAUUAAGACACAGGCACGAUUCACAAGGCCCGCUUCCCAGAAAUUCUAUUGCUGUGCUGUUACCGGAAAUGAUAUGGGGGCUGAAACCCAAAGCAAAAGAAACCAAAGGGCAGGUAAUGCCGAUUGGUUUUGGAAAGUAAGUGUGUGUGUGUGUGUGUGUGUCUGUGUAUGUGUGUGUGUCUGUGUAUAUAUAAAUAUAUACACAGACACACACACUUUUUUUUUUUGAGACAGGGUCUCACUCUGUCGCCUCGACUGGAGUACAGAGGUGCGAUCUCAGUUCACUUCAACCUCUGCCUCCUGGGUUCAUGCAAUUCUCCCACCUCAGCCUCCUGAGUAGCUGGGACUACAGGAACCCGCCACCACACCCGGCUAUUUUUUUUUUUUUGUAUUUUUUUGGUAGAGACGGGAUUUCACUAUGUUGGCCAGGCUGGUCUCGAACUCCCAACCACAAGUGAUCCACCGCCUUGGCCUCCCCAAGUGCUGGGAUUAUAGGCUUGAGCCACUGUACCCAGCCUGGAAAGUAUAUUUAUGAAAGGUUUACACUCCACAAAAGCAUCUUUGCUAGGGUGUCAAGGAAGAGAUCACUG
ensembl:lncRNA